CUCCGUCGUCACUCCUUAUAACCGGUUACCCGCGUUCGGACUAGGUCGGUACGGCGCACGUCCUUCUUACGGGAUACCCAACAUUUGACGAAAAUAAACCCUUAUUUGGAGGAAUGCUUAUCCCUCGACUUACAAGGUUUGCUUAUUCGUGGCCGAUUGAGGCACGGUCGUCGGCGCCAUUAUGCCUCCCACGUUCGCAAUAGGCCUUAGUAACCCAAAUUUCCCAGGCGUCCGCCCGGAUAUUCAGUCACCACUUUAGGGUAGCGAAUUGCUACCUUGAAGGUAACUAUGACAUCCAGAACUUAAGCCAGCUUCACCCGCCUUACACAGUACAUCGCCACUUUACGUAUCUAUACUGUGUCUUGUGGCUAUCGCUUCCGUCGAGUGAUCCGGACCUAACUGCGAGUCCCUGCUUUCGCACCCCUCGCGUGUCCUAAUCUAUGGGACCAACAAGAACGG
rnacentral:rRNA from 1 species